UACGGAGGGGACUAGCGUUGUUCGGAAUUACUGGGCGUAAAGCGUGCGUAGACGGUUAUUUAAGUCGGGUGUGAAAGCCCCGGGCUCAACCUGGGAAUUGCAUUCGAGACUGAAUAGCUAGGGUACGGUAGAGGGAAGUGGAAUUUCCGGUGUAGCGGUGAAAUGCGUAGAUAUCGGAAGGAACAUCAGUGGCGAAAGCGACUUCCUGGACCAGUACCGACGUUCAGGCACGAAAGCGUGGGGAGCAAACAGG
rnacentral:rRNA from 1 species